rnacentral:rRNA from 1 species
UACAUAGGGUGCAAGCGUUGUCCGGAAUUAUUGGGCGUAAAGAGCUCGUAGGUGGUUCGUUACGUCGGAUGUGAAAAUCUGGGGCUCAACCCCAGACCUGCAUCCGAUACGGUCGAGCUAGAGGUUGGUAGGGGAGACUGGAAUUCCUGGUGUAGCGGUGGAAUGCGCAGAUAUCGAGGAGGAACACCAAUGGCGAAGGCAGGUCUCUGGGCCAAUACUGACACUGAGGAGCGAAAGCGUGGGGAGCGAACAGG